AUGGAAAAAGGCAAGACUUCCUUCCCAGGAGAUUUAUCAUUCUUCAAAAAAAUGGGGUUCUCAAAGAUUCAAGUUCACGGUGAAGAGAUGACAGUACAAGUGCUGGGAGCAAAUCACCGGGUCGACUCCAGCAGCCGGGCAAGCCCACGAGAGGUAGGAUGGAGCCCGAGUGAUCCCGGGCCGGGGACUGGCGUGCCUCGCUGCCUCGGCCGAGAUGGGCCCCAGAAAGAACCCAGGGCAGCAGUGGGCAGUGAGGACUUCCCAUCCCGCCCAGGGCCUACAGCUCGUCUGACGUCAAAGCUCAAAGCCCCCAGGCCAGUGGGGCCUGGAGUGACUCUUGCUAUUCAUUCAACGUUCAAGCGAUAUUUAUUGCAGGCCUACAGUAACAACCACCACGGCAGUAAUAAAACAGUAGAAGUAACAGCUGACACUUACUGAGGGCUUCCUGAAUGUUUGGGGCCAGCAAUAACGGCAAGUGCGGGAGGGAGUUGGUUCCCUACCCUCCUGGAGUCUUUCCGCUGGAGGGAGCGACUGCGCAUGCGCAGAUGAAUUACCAACUACACAAGAUAAGUACAAAUUAGGAUAAGAAGCCCAAAGGAAAAAAGAACAGGAUGCUAAAAUAGAGGAUAGUGGGACAGAAGGUGUAGAUUAUUUUGUUUUCAUUUUGUUGCUUUUUAGGGCGGCACCGGCGGCAUAUGGAAGUUCUGAGGCUGGGGUUGAAUCAGAGUUAUGGCUACCAGCCUACGCCACAGCCACAGCAAUGCAGGAUCCAAACCGCAUCUGUGACCCACACCACGGCCCAUGGCAACACUGGGUUCUUAACCGACUAAGCAAGGCCAGGGAUGGAACCCACAUCCUCAUGGAUACUAGCUGGGUUUGUUACCACUGAGCCACAAUGGGAAUUCCAGAUGAUUUUAGAUAAGGUGGGCAGGGGUGGUUCUUCCCUGGAGUUGAUACUCAGACAAGACUUUGAGAAGGAUGGGGUGGGGGCUGGUAUCAAAGCCUGAGGCAGCUGGAGCUUCUCUGCCAGAUAGAGCAACAAGUGCAAAGGCCCUGGGGUAGGGAAAGAUGUUUAGAGUGUUGAGAGGAAUUGAGGAGAACUGGCAGUGGCGAGACCACAGGGAGGAGAGCAAGGUGAUGAAAGGUGGGGGGAAGAACCUGCCAGGGCACAAGGUGCAGGACAUCACUGGAAGGUUGAAGCAUUGAAAUGGUGCAAUUUGAUUAGUGAAUAUAAAAGGUCUCUGAUGUUUUCCUAUGCCUUGUGCUGGGGUGUGAACUCCCUCCCUCACCCCUGUGGUCCUGCCCAGGAACUACAGCUAGGCCCCUCCCUGGAUUGUGGUUGGAAUGAGAGCCCCUACCCCAACUUCUACCCCAUCCUGCACUAUGCCUGCAGCCCUACCCCGCAGCCAGCCCCUGUCAGCAUUCCUAAUACCCUAGUUCCCAAGCAUGUCCGCUCUGAGAACUGUCUUUGUUCGACGUCCCUUGCUCAUCGGGGCCCCAUCUGGAACUGAACGGACUCCUCCAGCCACUGUCAGCCCCAAAACCAUGGAGCCUCGGCCUCCCAAACUCCAUCCAUCCCCACUAGCCGAAGAUCCCAGCUACUGCAUGUCUACCCUUGGCUGGGGCCACUGUGUACUGACUAACAGUUACUCCCUGAGAAGACCAGCCACUGCCUACUCAAUGUCCUUCCUAUCUUCCCACCAGCCUGCUGAUAAAGCCCCCUUGUGCCUUGCAGCCAAGUCCUUCUGAGACAUGAGAAUCUCCUUCAGUGCUAAUGAGGAGGACUGGGCCAGGAAAAUUCACCGUCUGUGAAGAUGGGACACUGGGAGAUGGCAAGAUCCGCUCCGCAGGGGGCAGUCGGGGUCAGAGCAGAUGCUGCUAAUGGACAGUGAUUGGGGUUGCCAUCCCCUUCCAUUAGGAGCUGGCCACUCCCACAGCUCCAGGCCAUCCUUGGAGGCCUGGUGUCCUCUCCUGCUGGGGAAAGACUGGGCUGGUUCACUAAUGGGGCCCCCAGCCAGCUCAGAGAACAGCAGGGGAAAGCCCCUGCCAGAACAAUCCAUUUCUCCUCCCCCCACCAGGAACCUCACCGGCUUCUCCGAGAGCUCCAUGCAGGAGGGACCAGCUCAGACUCCAAGCCAAAGAAAGCACUGCAAGUGUAUUCACAAUAGGAUUUGAGAAUAUUCCUUCCAGAGCGGAGGGGCCAGCCAUGUGGGGCGCUGAAAUGAUCUGUGGACAUGGGGCCCAGCAGGACUGAGCAGAAUAGUGAUCACCCACAUGCUGAGUAUAUGCUCUAACUCCACCCCCGGGGGGGAGCACCCUGAGCGGAGCCCCAUCAUCCCAGCUUCACAAAGAGGACAUGAACAGCAGAAGGUGUGGCAAGUUGUGGAAGUCACCUGGCUGGUGUGUGUUGGAUGAGGACCUGGCAGGCUGUGCCCUCGUUCUUAACCACCGUGCUGUCUGCUCGCUCCGAUCCCAGCCCUGGUCUGACACUUGCUGGCUUGGUGUUGCCCAGCAGCAUUGUCCACGCCAUACCCUCCCAAUGUGCUCCACAAACAGUUAUCAAGUGUCUCCUCUGUGCCUCUCAUUUACAGAAGAAAUGGAUGCUGGGGGAGCCUACAUAAAUGCACACAACUGUUCCUGUCCCAAAACUUGAGCCACGGUCCCAUAAAGCCCAAUUUCUCCCCUCCUCAAAGAUGCUCUUCAGUGACAGCUGCAGUGGGGUUGGGUGCUUGCCCUCCUGGUUCACGGCAGGGCUGCUGGGCUAUGUCCAGGACAGGUAGCAGGGGAGGCAGGGAAGAGGUGGUACUCCUCCAGGCAUAAGGGUGCAGGCACAACAUGUAUUGAGAGUCAGAGUCCGUAGUCCAGAGAUCAGGACCUGAUGGGGGGCAUCUCAAAUGCUCCUUCUGCAUAUGGUCAAGGGGAGCCCAGGUGGGGUAUCCCACAGGAGCAGUCCGAGGCUCUCUUUGCUCCAGGUUCCUAGAGUACCAGGUUGAACACAGACUGGGACCAUGUCCUGCUCCAGCCCCCAGGCAAGGGUUGCCCCUUGGAGGAGCCCCUGGCCUGCACUAAGGAAAACUGAAAGAGGGAAGGUGAGAGCUGGCCUGGACAGAGCGACCAAGAGGAGAAGAAAGGCCCAGAUCAGUGGGUGGCAAAGCUGGGGGUGGGGUCGGCAGUAUGGACUGCUGUGAUCUGUCCUGGGCACCCAGGACUCCCCUGCAGGACCACAGGACUUUCUCCUCCAGAUGCUGGGAAGACUGUCAGCUGAUAAGGGCUCCAUGGUCAGCCCUCUUUAGGAGUCUAAAGAGAGCUGCAGCAUUCCCAUCAUGGCUCAGUGGUAAUGAGCCCAACUAGUAUCCAUGAGGACUCAGGUUGGAUCCCUGGCCUCGAUCAGUGGGUUAAGGAUCUGGUGUUGCUGUGAGCUGUGGUGUAGGUCGCAGAUGUGGCUCAGAUCCCACAUGGCUGUGGCUGUGGUGUAGGCCAGCACCUGCAGCUGCAAUUCGACCUCUAGUCUGGGAACUUCCAUAUGCUGCGGGUAUGGCCCUAAAAAGAAAAAAUAAAUAAAUAAAAAAGCGAGCGAGCGAGGGAGUG
rnacentral:lncRNA from 1 species